CUAGCAGAAACGGAACAAGCUUCCUGCCAGCCUGGUUGUUGGUAAGAGUAACCAAGCAGAAGCAAGCUUCUGCUCUGGAUACACAACAACCAUUAACUCUGAUGAGUUAAUGCCAGAUUUUACCCUGGCUUGAACAGAUACUACACUUGAUCAAAGCUAUAAGCUUUGAGAGGUAAGGGGUA